GACAGAGGGUGCAAACGUUGUUCGGAAUUACUGGGCGUAAAGCGCGUGUAGGCGGCUCGGCAAGUCGGGUGUGAAAGCCCUGGGCUUAACCUAGGAAGUGCACUCGAAACUGCCAAGCUUGAGUUCUGGAGAGGAAGGCGGAAUUCUCGGUGUAGAGGUGAAAUUCGUAGAUAUCGAGAGGAACACCGGUGGCGAAGGCGGCCUUCUGGACAGCAACUGGCGCUGAGACGCGAAAGCGUGGGGAGCAAACAGG
rnacentral:rRNA from 1 species